UAUAUGUGAAUAUUAAUUGCAAAUCACAAAGCAUCACUCAAAACUGAAUUAUUUUGUCAUUAUUGCUAAGAGAGCUGGGAGCUGGAUGGUUUAGCCCAAUCAAAAUCAGGUUCAGUUGAUUGGUGAAAUUUUUAUCCAUUCCCGAAACAGAACUGAGCAGUUCUGAGCUGAGGAAGUCCAAAAGAGCAGAGGGCUAUAAACAAUAUUUUCUCUCCGCGAUCACAGCCCUGAAAGUUCACACUCAUCUACUUACACUAGCAAACUCAUUUCAAGUGCUCCAUGUUUAAUUUAAUAUCGGACCUGAAGUGAACAUGGAAAGAAUCUAAGACGGAUUCUCAGGAUGUGGCCUGUGGUGUCCAAGGGAAGUCUCUACCUGGCCUGUGGCUGUCUCCACGCUGCAUCCACUGGCUGAGUCAUCCUGGAUGUUGGCCCGCUGGCCUCCCCUGAGUCCGCCAGGGGCUGGUGCUGGCUUAGGGUUUGAGUGGGAGACGCACUGCACCCACCUGUGCUGUGCACGUUCACCUUCGCUACCUCGAGUCGCUGGUCUCUUCACGCAUCCACUGUGUGUUUCUUGCAGGUGAGCACGGCAGACUGGGUGCGGGCAGAGAGCGUCCAUAACCUCUGUGAGGUGCGAUUUAAAGCUCACAAGCUCUGGGUGAUGGAUAGCGGCUACUGGCUGCCAGCCAACCUCUGCCUCGGGCUGCAGGACUUGGACUUGGAGGACCAGAGACCAUACUGCUUCAGCCUCCUGGCCGGCCAGGGGAAGAGCCAUGUCUUCACCGUGGCACUGGGCACGGAGCUGGCAGUGUGGGAGAAGGCGUUCCAGAGAGCAACGUUCUUGGAGGUGCAGAGGACUGGGUCAAAAACAUACAUGUGCAGCUGGCAAGGAGAGGUGCUGUGUUUCACCGUGGACUUUGCUUUGGGGUUCACCUGCUUCGACAACAGGACGAAGAAUGUGCUCUGGAGAUUUAAAUUCUCCCAGCUGAAGGGGUCUUCGGAUGACGGAAACACUCGAGUAAAGCUACUAUUUCAGAACCCAGACACCAAACAAAUUGAGACAAAGGCUUCCUUGCUCCCGUGCGCAGAGAAGCACUCUGCCUUUCCAUACCUUUCUUCCGUGUGGCAGCAUUGCCAAAGCAAAGACUCGAUCCCCUCCCCUCGGACUGGUCGUUACCUUCAUUCCUUUCCACCGUGAGCACAGAAGCACCCUCAUUCCACCCGUCCAGACACAGGGAGCAGGAGCCUCAGAUUAGUGGGCGAUGUCACCUGGGCUGCUUUUGUCGCUGAGGUCACAGAUCACCAAGCCCGGACUACAUAUGUUGGUCACCUUACACUCCUCCAAGCCCCUGCGCUGCCUCCAGAGUGUGGGGGGCUGGUUCCUCCUGGACAUGCCAGGGGAGGGGCGUUCUUGGCUGUUCCUGCUUCCAGGGCCUGUCACUUGGCUCCGCCCUGGCGGUUGCCAAGGAACCCACCCCUCCCCCUCCAUCUUCAGGGCCCAGGACCUUGAGUGGACCAGAACCACACUGCACCUUUGCAGGUGUCCUCCCACCAGCCCCCGUGGGUGGAGUGGUUCUGAAGGGCUCGGCUCUUACUUGCUGGCUUCCAGAGGCCUGGGCAUCAGAGAAGGGGGUGCCUGCCUCAUCCCCUGGCCUUCUACUUGCACGAUUUAAAGAGGCUAAUAUCGUGCUCACUUCAGCAGCACAUAUACUGAAGAGGCAAAUAUCGCGUUUUUUACUCCCUUUUCUCAAGUCAGGGUCAUCCCUAGGGGACAUUC
rnacentral:lncRNA from 1 species